rnacentral:rRNA from 1 species
ACAAGCAGUGGAUUAUGUGGUUUAAUCGAAGCAACGCGAAGAACCUUACCAGGUCUUGACAUCGUGCGCAUAACCCAGAGAUGGGUGAAGCCCUUCGGGGCGCAUAGACAGGUGGUGCAUGGUUGUCGUCAGCUCGUGUCGUGAGAUGUUGGGUUAAGUCCCGCAACGAGCGCAACCCUUACGAAUAGUUGCUACGCAAGAGCACUCUAUUAGGACUGCCGUUGACAAAACGGAGGAAGGUGGGAUGACGUCAAAUCAUCAUGCCCCUUAUGACCUGGGCUACACACGUAAUACAAUGGCGGUCAACAGAGGGAAGCGACGCCGCGAGGCCGAGCGAAUCCUCAAAAGCCGUCUCAGUUCGGAUUGCAGGCUGCAACUCGCCUGCAUGAAGUCGGAAUUGCUAGUAAUCGCGGAUCAGCACGCCGCGGUGAAUACGUUCCCGGGCCUU